rnacentral:rRNA from 1 species
AGAGUUUGAUCCUAGCUUAGAAGGAACGUUAUCUAUAUGCUUAACACAUGCAAGUCGAACGUUGUUUUUGGGGAGUUGGGUAGAAGGAAAAGAGGCUCCUAGCUAAAGGUAGCUUGUCUCUCCUAGGAGGUGAGAAGAGUUGAGAAUAAAGUGGCGAACGGGUGGGUAACGCAUGGGAAUCUGCCGAACAGUUCGGGCCAAAUCCUGAAGAAAGCUGAAAAGCGUUGUUUUAUAAGCAUGUGUAGUUUUAGGUAGUUGGUCAGGUAAAGGCUGACCAAGCCAAUGAUGUUUAGCUGGUCUUUUUGGAUGAUCAGCCACACCGGGACUGAGACACGGCCCGGACUCCCACGGGGACAGUAGUGGGGAAUCUUGGACAAUGGGCGAAAGCCCGAUCCAGCAAUAUCGUGUGAGUGAAGAAGGGCAAUGCCGCUUGUAAAGCUCUUUUGUCAAGUGCGCGAUCAUGACAUGACUCGAUGAAGAAGCCCCGACUAACUCCGUGCCAGUAGUCGCGGUAAGACGGGAGGCAAGUGUUCUUCGAAAUGGCUGGGCGUAAUGGGCACGUAGGCAGUGAAUCGGAUUGAAAGUGAAAGCCGCCAAAAACUGGCAGAAUGCUCUUGAAACAAAUUCACUCGAGUGAGACAGAGGAGAGUGGAAUUUUGUGUGUAGGGGUGAAAUCCGGAUAUCUAUGAAGGAAUGCCAAAAGCAAAGGGAGCUCUCUGGGUCCCUACCGACGCUGAGGUGCGAAAGCAUGGGGAGCGAACAGGAUUAGAUACCCUGGUAGUCCAUGCCGAAAACGAUGAGUGUUUGCCCUUGGUCUACGCAGAUCAGGGGCCUAGCUAAUGCGUGAAACACUCCGCCUGGGGAGUACGAUUGCAAGACCGAAACUCAAAGGAAUUGACGGGGGCCUGCACAAGUGGUGGAGCAUGUGGUUUAAUUCGAUACAACGCACAAAACCUUACCAGCCCUUGACAUAUGAGCAAGAAAACAUGUCCUUAACGGUAUGCUACUGACUUUCAUACAUAUGCUACAUGAUUGUCAUCAGCUCGUGUCGUGAGAUGUUUGUUCAAGUCCUAUAACUAGCAAAACCCUCAUUUUGUGUUGCUGAGACAUGCGCCUAAGGAGAAAGUCUUUGUAACCGAAGUGAGCUGAGGAGUUGAGUGAUGUGCCAACACUACUAAUUGAGUGCCAGCACAUAGCUGUGUUGUCAGUAAGAAGGUAGCCGGCGCAUUUCAAAGCACUUUCUAUUUCAAAAUAGAAAUGGUCUUUUUCGCUUGUUUGUUAAAGUCAAGUUUUUGGCCUUAUCUUGCAGGUGACGGCAACGUCGAGUUAACGGCAGAGAAAGACUCAGCAUUCAGGAGAGCCACCCGAUGGUGUGGUACGUAGUGGGUUUAGUACGCCCUGCCCAAACAAACGGCUCUGAAACAAAUAAAAAGGUGUGUGCCGCACUCACGAAGGACUGCCAGUGAUAUACUGGAGGAAGGUGGGGAUGACGUCAAGUCCGCAUUGCCCUUAUGGGCUGGGCCAUACACGUGCUACAAUGGCAAUUACAAUAGGAAGCAAGGAUGUAAGGCGAAGCGAAUCCGAAAAGAUUGCCUCAGUUCGGAUUAUUCUCUGUAACUCGGGAACAUGAAGUUGGAAUCGCUAGUAAUCAUGGAUCAGCAUGCCGCGGUGAAUAUGUACCCGGGCCCUGUACACACCGCCUGUCACACCCUGGGAAUUGGUUUCACCUGAAGCAUCGGACCAAUGAUCACUCAUGACUUCUGUGGCACAAUAGUGCCACAAAGGCCUUUGGUGGUCUUAUUGGCAUAUACCCUCUC